rnacentral:rRNA from 1 species
CAAUAGCGUAUAUUAAAGUUGUUGCAGUUAAAAAGCUCGUAGUUGGAUUUCGGGACGGGCCAGUUGGUCCGCCGCAAGGUGUGUUACUGACUGGUCUGUUCUUCUUCGCAAAGACUGCGUGUGCUCUUCGUUGAGUGUGCGUAGGAUUUACGACGUUUACUUUGAAAAAAUUAGAGUGUUCAAAGCAGGCUAUCGCUUGAAUACAUGAGCAUGGAAUAAUGGAAUAGGACUUUGGUCCUAUUUUGUUGGUUUCUAGGACCGGAGUAAUGAUUAAGAGGGACAAUUGGGGGCAUCCGUAUUUCGUUGUCAGAGGUGAAAUUCUUGGAUUUACGAAAGACGAACAACUGCGAAAGCACUUGCCAAGAGUGUUUUCAUUAA